rnacentral:rRNA from 1 species
UUGUCCGGAUUUAUUGGGCGUAAAGCGAGCGCAGGCGGUUAGAUAAGUCUGAAGUUAAAGGCUGUGGCUUAACCAUAGUACGCUUUGGAAACUGGUUGACUUGAGUGCAGAAGAGGAGAGUGGAAUUCCAUGUGUAGCGGUGAAAUGCGUAGAUAUAUGGAGGAACACCAGUGGCGAAGGCGACUCUCUGGUCUGUAACUGACGCUGAGGCUCGAAAGCGUGGGUAGCAAACAGGAUUAGAUACCCUGGUAGUCCACGCCGUAAACGAUGAGUGCUAAGUGUUGGAGGGUUUCCGCCCUUCAGUGCUGCAGUUAACGCAUUAAGCACUCCGCCUGGGGAGUACGACCGCAAGGUUGAAACUCAAAGGAAUUGACGGGGGCCCGCACAAGCGGUGGAGCAUGUGGUUUAAUUCGAUGCAACGCGAAGAACCUUACCUACUCUUGACAUCCAUGGAAUCUUGUAGAGAUAUGAGAGUGCCUUCGGGAACCAUGAGACAGGUGCUGCAUGGCUGUCGUCAGCUCGUGUCGUGAGAAG